CAACAAAGUGCGCAAUCAGCAAUCAUGGGGAAAAGCAUGUCGCAUAACGAAAUACUCCCCACGCCGCUCACUGAUUCAAACAGGUUAAGGGGAAAGGCCCAGCUGCAAAACAUGAGCGAUCCCUGUAAAGUCAAUUCCUUUUUGAUAUUCCGUUUUCAUGGCAGCGUAAACCAUUGACUCCUCGAUCCCCUCGUUUCGACCGGUAGUUGAAGCGAACAAGCCUGCUGGUCGCGGAUACAACUACCGAUUCCGCUUGCUUGAUGAAAAGGAAAACAUGCGAUCCGGAACGAACCGCUAUCUGAGGAAAUGAAGGGCUUGAUUCGUUUUCCUGUAGCUUGGUUAUCUUUGCGGUCCCUUUCUUGAGGAGCACCUUUUCUCGAUUUUGGGAUUGGUAUCAUUAUCAUAUCAGUUUAUGAUGGAAUAUGUGUUCCCCAGCCUCUCUCUAUCCCACUCCCUAAAGGAAUUACAGCUUCCCAGAUUUAGCUUGGUGAGCCUGCUCGUGCAUAUGAACGUUCAGGAAAGAAUUGCAGGCGGAAUUUCUUACCAUAGUCCGGCUUUUUAAGGAUCAAAUUAGUGGGUUGCUUACUACACUUACAUAUAUUGACAAUGACAUGUUCAUAUAUUGGAUCCAUGCAAAAUGAAGAAAUAAUAUAGUUCUAGAGAUGGUCGGUACACACCACCAUGAACCAUCUAGAUCGACUGGUCUCAUAGCUGACAAAACCCAUCAUCCCUGGUACCGGUAGGUUUUUAGAAGGAGGGAUGAAAAUUAACAUCGAAGGUUUCCCCCUCUAUCUAGCCCUGCUAAAAUCCAGGAAGCAGUUAGUUAGGUGCAUAUCUGACGAGCGCGGACUCAUUCAUCUGUUGCAAGCAGUACCGUGGAAUGGAAGCUAUUUUAUCGAAUUGUUUAUCGAAGGCAAGACUGACACUGAGAGGAUUUACCGAACAUGUUCCAUUGUCACCAGAACUGU
rnacentral:sRNA from 2 species